rnacentral:rRNA from 1 species
GACAGAGGGUGCAAACGUUGCUCGGAAUCACUGGGCGUAAAGGGCGUGUAGGCGGGAGAGAAAGUCGGGCGUGAAAUCCCUAGGCUCAACCUAGGAACUGCACUCGAAACUUCUUUUCUUGAGUGCCGGAGAGGAAAGCGGAAUACCUGGUGUAGAGGUGAAAUUCGUAGAUAUCAGGUGGAACACCGGUGGCGAAGGCGGCUUCCUGGACCGACACUGACGCUGAGGCGCGAAAGCUAGGGGAGCAAACGGG